rnacentral:rRNA from 1 species
AGAACGAACGCUGGCGGCAGGCCUCAAACAUGCAAGUCUAGGGGGUGUAGCAAUACAUCACCGGCGGACGGGUGCGUAACACGUGGGAAUAUACCUUUUGGUUCGGAACAACGCAGGGAAACUUGCGCUAAUACCGAAUGUGCCCUUACGGGGAAAGAUUUAUCGCCAAAGGAUUAGCCCGCGUAGGAUUAGCUAGUUGGUGAGGUAAUGGCUCACCAAGGCUCCGAUCCUUAGCUGUUCUGAGAGGAAGAUCAGCCACACUGGGACUGAGACACGGCCCAGACUCCUACGGGAGGCAGCAGUUGGGAAUCUUGGACAAUGGGGGAAACCCUGAUCCAGCCAUGCCGCGUGAGUGAUGAAGGCCUUCGGGUUGUAAAACUCUUUCGACGGGACGAUAAUGACGGUACCGUAGAAGAAGCUCCGGCUAACUUCGCGCCAGCAGCCGC